CGUGUCGCUCAUUCGCACGUCAUUAGACUUACAGGCUGCUCACCUGAUUUGCGUCCUGCUCUGGUAUAAAUACGCCGAGUUCCACACACCCUCAUACACUCACACACACACGCACUCUCACACACACACACCCACACACACAUGCUCCACUGCACUUCACAGAAGGAGUACUAGAAGUCCAGCCGUCUCGCUUCAUCACCAUGUGCGUCCUAUGGAGAUACAGACUCGUGAUGUCGGUGUUGUCUGUGUUGCUGUUUUUCCUCAGUUGUGACGCUCAGCUGCAUAAUGAAGCGCAAAGCAGCAAAUUAGUGUAUGCACGUGGAAACCACUGGGCUGUGGGACACCUGAUGGGUAAGAAGAGCAUAGACGAGACGCUGGGCUCGGACGACCAUGAUGUCGAAGCUCAGGCUUAUUUAAUCACAGCCGAAGCCGACACACACACACAGCCGUCCAACCUGCUGAAGGCUCUCAUCAAGGCUCUUUCUGGACCAAAGAAAGCUACAGAAGACGAGAGGGAAAGACGAGAGCUUUCAAUGGAACUGAGGAGGCCGUGGGAAGAACAGUUGGCAAGAGAAAGGGAGGUCAACCAGGCAGCAAGGUUAUUGUUACUGGCGUUAAACAAGAGAGACGCAGACGCCAGCUGAAGACCAGUGUCAGGCCUGAUCUAUAAUCAGCGAUUCUGCAGUUGGAAGCAGCUGAGAAAUGGCCGCGCUGCGUCACAGUCGACUCUGUUAGAAAAUAAACACCUAAAUCUCACUGUCUGUUCAUUCUGCACCACAUCAGCUCAGAAAUAACUUCUAUUUUGUUUUUUUGUAAGUUAAUCUAAUUAUAUGCCAUUGUUUUAUAGGCCUACGUAUAUAAUUAUGUUCUUCUGAACUGUUUGUGUAACUGAUGUUUUGUCAAAUGUCUUCAAUAAAGUCCUGAAAUAAACCUUGUGGGAUUUAAAUACACCAAUUUGCGCAUAAAUCGAGCGGUAUUAUACUCAUUAUUAAACACUUAUUAAAGACUGAACACGUUUUAGAAUGUAGGAUCUCAGUAUUAGAGAUUUUUCUGAUUAUUUCAAAAACCCAAAACAGAUGCACGAGGGAUUAAAGGAGUCACAGUAAAUAUAUAC
ensembl:lncRNA